rnacentral:rRNA from 1 species
UUGCUCUUCAACGAGGAAUCCCUUGUAAGCGCAAGUCAUCAGCUUGCGUUGAAUACGUCCCUGCCCUUUGUACACACCGCCCGUCGCUACUACCGAUUGAAUGGCUCAGUGAGGCGUCCGGACUGGCCCAGGGAGGUGGGCAACUACCACCCAGGGCCGGGAAGUUCCCCAAACUCGGUCAUUUAGAGGAAGUAAAAGUCGUAACAAGGUCUCCGUUGGUGAACCAGCGGAGGGAUCAUUACCGAGUUUCCAACUCACAACCCACUGUGAACAUACCUACGUUGCUUCGGCGGCAACCCGGCCCCGGCCGGCGCCGCCGGAGACCCUAAACUCUCUGUUUUCCAAUGUGGUUACCUCUGAGAAAUCUUGAAAAUAAAUCAAAACCUUCAACAACGGAUCUCUUGGCUCUGGCAUCGAUGAAGAACGCAGCGAAAUGCGAAAAGUAAUGUGAAUUGCAGAAUUCAGUGAAUCAUCGAAUCUUUGAACGCACAUUGCGCCCGCUGGAACUCCGGCGGGCAUGCCUGUCCGAGCGUCAUUUCAACCCUCAGGCCCCCCUUUCGGGGGCGGGCCUGGUGUUGGGGACCGGCCGCCUCCUCUGGCGGCCGACCCCUAAAUUCAGUGGCGGCCGCGCCGCGAUCCCUUGCGUAGUAAUCUAACCUCGCACCGGAGAGCGACGCGGUCCACGCCGUGAAACCCCCAAAUUUCAAUGGUUGACCUCGGAUCAGGUAGGAAUACCCGCUGAACUUAAGCAUAU